UCCUACCUUAGCCAAAUCAACGGAUCUCUUUCGUUAAUGAAUUUGCUUUAGGAAACAAAUAAUAUAUUUUUAGGAAACAAAUAAUCUCUAAUCUCAUCUCUAAUUCUCCAAUAAUAAUAAUUAAUAUAAUAUAAUAAUAAUAAUACCUAAAAGAAACGCAGCGUUCCGUUUCCCGUCUUACGUCGUCGAACCCUUCGUCGAGCCUCCCUCCCGUGCGCUGUUGGUUUUCCCUGCGUACGUUCCACCCCAAACGUGAUUCGUUCUUCUUAAUUACGUGGUCCCACCCCCAUGCGAUCCGGCCAAAGAACCAGCAAAACCGUCAUACCCAUGCACGCAAGGAACGAAAAAUCCAUGCAAGUUGUGUCUCCUCCUCCCUGUUCAAACCCUAGCCGCCCCUUCCCAGUUGACGCCGCUAGCGAGUAGCGCGUAGCACAGGCACCCGUGCGGCCCUUCUGUGGUCCCCCUUGACCUCGCAAUGAAACAGCUCGUCAGCAUCGACGACGAGCCGAUGCGUCUGCUGUUGAUUCCUGUGGAUGGGUCAAGCAGGACAGAGGGCGGUGGAUCCGGGACAUAGCCAUGAAGUCUGCUUCGAUGCGCUCCCAUUACUGUCUCAAGUGCAUGGGUCGAUCCUGGACGGUGGGUGAUGGAUCAAGGACGUACAUAGCAGCUUUCACCUACGCAAACGGCUGACUACUCAACCUCCUCUCGGCGGUGGCAGCGGCCAGGUCUGGUUAGCUACCAUUUAUCUUUAAUACAUGCCAUGAAAGGCGAUCAAGAGGAGCAAUCAUAAGCAGCGAGGUGUUCCAGGGCUACGAGCGCCAGUACUGCGACUCUGCGUCUACGAGGUCUUCGCCAAGAUCGCUACCCUCUCUUCCCGUGCCUAUUUCUAUUCGUUGUUGUUGGUUUUGUCUUACAUGGUGAGAUCUAAGCAGACAAUAUGAAGCAGAGGCUCUUUAAGAUCCAGUCCAACGUGCAGGAUACUGAAUCGCUGGUGGAGGCUUCAUUUUGGAUGUAGGUGAAUGUGUGAUUUCUGGAAGCUCUGUAUAUUAACUUCAUGAUCUGCUCUUGAUUUUCUUCUUGGGGACUAGAUUUGAAGAUUUGCCAGCUACACCAUCUAAAAAUCAGGCAGCUGAUCCGGGUGAAGAAGGGAUUCCUAUCUCGAAAUUCUGUUGUAGGUGAAGCGUCUCCUGUAGGCCAUGGAGAUGACCAGGGAUGCAUUGGGAGGCGGGCGACGUAAAGUGCUGGAAAGGAGUAUUGUAUUAUGUAUGGUCCUCCUUCGCUUUUUGGAAGGUUGUAUAGUCGUUUUGAUACACAAGAUAUAAUUUCAGGUUCUACAUACAUAUUGGUUUGAGAUGUUUUCAUUUUUUAUCAUGUCAAUGAAUAAUGCAAUCUGGAUUUGUUUUAUCAUGCCAAUUUGAGGCAUUCUGUAUGGGCUGGUUGGAGGAAUAUUAUUUUUUUACGCACUAUGUGUGAACAUGU